rnacentral:rRNA from 1 species
UGCAGUCGACGAGAAGCCCCUUCGGGGGUGAGUACAGUGGCGAACGGGUGAGUAACACGUGGGUUACCUGCCCUCGAGUGGGGAAUAACUCCGGGAAACUGGGGCUAAUACCGCAUACGACCCUUCGGGGUGAAAGCUUUAUGCGCUCGGGGACGGGCCCGCGGUCGAUUAGCUUGUUGGUGGGGUAACGGCUCACCAAGGCUACGAUCGAUAGCCGGCCUGAGAGGGCACACGGCCACACUGGCACUGAGACACGGGCCAGACUCCUACGGGAGGCAGCAGUGGGGAAUCUUGGACAAUGGGGGAAACCCUGAUCCAGCGACGCCGCGUGAUCGAUGAAGGCCUUCGGGUCGUAAAGAUCUUUCAGCGGGGACAAUGAUGAUGGUACCCGCAGAAGCAGGAGCGGCUAACUACGUGCCAGCAGCCGCGGUAAUACGUAGGCUCCAAGCGUUGUUCGGAAUUACUGGGCGUAAAGCGAGUGUAGGCGGUUUGCCAAGUCGAUUGUGAAAUCUCCCGGCUCAACUGGGAGGGUGCGGUCGAUACUGGCAGGCUAGAGUACGGAAGAGGAAGGUAGAAUUCCUGGUGUAGCGGUGGAAUGCGUAGAUAUCAGGAGGAAUACCGGUGGUGAAGACGGCCUUCUGGACCGUAACUGACGCUGAGACUCGAAAGCGUGGGGAGCAAACAGGAUUAGAUACCCUGGUAGUCCACGCCCUAAACGAUGCAUACUUGGUGU